rnacentral:tRNA from 1 species
GCCAUAUCAGUAUGAUGAUUACGUUCGCCUUCCAAGUGAAAAUUUUAAUUAACUUUAAAUAAGGCA